CUUUUUCUAUUUCUAACGAUUGGUAAGGGCGUCAGUUUGCUUGGCGAACCAGCACGUUUACAUUAGCUAGAUUAGGUUCGGCUUGGGGCCUGCCAGUCCAUUCAUAUCAGUGAAACAAGCUUUUAAAGUUGCUCAGUUCGGUACAUAACGACGUAAACGAAUUUCGUAAUUAUAGAUUGUGAAGGUAUGCUACAACUCUUUAAAAAAGUCAACCUGCAAAAAGGGAGAGGGAAAGAACAAGCAGAGCGUAGUAAGUAAAGGAAAAAUAAAGAACCCCCUUUAUUUUAUUUUUCUAUCGUAUUUGUAUUGUGUUUUAUUUUUUUUAAGCAUUGCAUUCCACUAAGUUGCUUUGUCUAUAGCUUCUCUUUCGUUUUUGUUUUUAGGGCUUUAUUAUUUAUUUCAUUUCUCUUUUCUUCCUCUUCUUUGUUUCACUGUUUGUCUUCCUCCUGUUACUCCCUUGCAAUCGUCCUUUUCGAUACUACGCUCAAUUUCGUUUCAAGAUUUUGUGAUGCGUUGCAAUAUGUAAUCUUUCUCCACAUUCGCGUCGUUGCUCUCGUAAUUCAAUUGAGCAAUGACGAAAGAAACUUGUUUCGGCAGUUACAUGGCAUUUUGUAAACAAAACGCCGAUAAAUAUGCAGAUAGGUAGGAGUGAUCGAUAUUGUGAUAAACAGAGAAAAGAUGAAAAAAACAGUCAACAAGGUAAAUAGAGAUUAUAGAAAAAUAAUCAUAAACUUGCUACAACGUAGGAAAAUCGAGUGAAAUUUGGGUCUUUUUAUAGGAUAACAAAGAUCGAUUUUCCUUUUUCGAUUCCCCUAUUCUUUGCUUUUUUUUUUUGUGUUUGUCUUUGAAAUAUCAUCCUAUUUCGCAUUUGUUUUUCUUCUUUUGCUUGCAUUCUUUACAGGAUUUACGUCUUUCUUGUCAUUUCUUUUCCCUUUUUUUUUCGUCUUCCCGCUUUGUUGUCGGUCUUGCUCUUUGCUGUUCUUGUCCUUAUUUUUUCAUUAUUUUUUUUUCAUACGAUUUUUGAAACAACUUUGACUAUUUCCUUCUUUAUACCCGUUUUACCGUGGUUUGGCUUGAUCACCUUCACGUUGAUCUUCCAUCUGCAAUUUUUUUCAGAUAACAAAUCUUUUUUUUAACACGCUUUUGCUAUUUCUCGAACAUCGCUUUUUCUUUUCUACUGAGACAAAAGUCGACAAAUUCGGAAAAUCAGCUUACUUUGAUCUUUUAUCUGAUAUUGUUCGGUUUUUGAUCUUUUGGACAUAAAAUUAAAUCAAAAUAGCCUAAUCUUAAACUGAACUGAGUAUUUGUUUACGAUCCCAUCCAAAACCCCCAAAAAAAUAAAAUAAAAUAAAAUAAAAUAAAAAGAUAGUUAAAUAAAAAAGUUCAUUUACCCACUUGUGCACAAUUUCUCAC